rnacentral:rRNA from 1 species
GUGCCAGCAGCCGCGGUAAUACGUAGGGGUCGAGCGUUGUCCGGACUUACUGGGCGUAAAGCGUGGGUAGGUGGAUCGUGAUGUGCCGUGUGAAAGCGCCGCGCUUCUCGCGGCGAGGUCGCGGUAGACACACGAUCUAGAGGCACGGAGAGGGGCGUAGAAUUCCCGGUGUAGUGGUGAAAUGCGUAGAUAUCGGGAGGAAUACCAGUGGCGCAAGCGGCGCCCUGGCCGUGACCUGACACUGAGCCACGACGGCGUGGGGAGCAAACGGGAUUAGAAACCCCGGUAGUCC